GGGCGGAUAGCUCAGCGGUAGAGCGUCGCCUUUACACGGCGAGGGUCACAGGUUCGAAACCUGUUCCGCCUA
rnacentral:tRNA from 1 species